rnacentral:rRNA from 1 species
UACGGGGGGGGCAAGCGUUGUUCGGAAUUACUGGGCGUAAAGGGCCAGUAGGCGGCCAACUAAGUCGGAUGUGAAAUCCCCAGGCUCAACUUGGGAACUGCAUCCGAUACUGGAUGGCUUGAAUUCGGGAGAGGGAUGCAGAAUUCCAGGUGUAGCGGUGAAAUGCGUAGAUAUCGAGAGGAACACCUGCGGCGAAGGCGGGUUGCUGGGCUGACACUGACGCUGAUGCGCGAAAGCCAGGGGAGCGAACGGG